UUUGCCUCCCGAGCCCUUUUGGGGAGUUGCAGCGAUGAGAACGAAAAAGGCAUUCAAAUGAAAAAAUAAAUAAAACGGUGUGUCUGAUAUAUGAAACAACUUCCUCAUAGCUAUUCAAAUAGGUUCAAGAAGAGGCUGCCUGACUUUUUGGCUCAAAUCACUUGUGCCACAAAUGAUUUCUUUGAAAACCUGAGCAUUGUUCAAAAGGCAACUCCCUUCCACAAAGAAAAGAGGCGACCACUUCCUCGUGCCUCACAAAGAUUGUCAGACGGACUCGCUGAACUGAAUCUUGUCACACCAGAGCACAGUCUGUGUUCUGUCAUCUGAAACAACAUAAUGCUGUUCCUAUUAUUUUGUGGCGGAUGUUUUGCGUUGUCUGCAGGGCAAACCUUUGCUCCAACACCUUCAAUGGGACAAGUGAACAGCACAACACAGGGAACAACACCUCCAGCUCCUACUACUCCAUAUGUGGACCCACCUUUUGGUACUGACACAGCUACUAGUGGAUUUGCAAUUCUUCGAACAGCUGUCACUUCUUAUCAGGAGCUAAAUAAGACUACAGUUGAUCCAGUCUUGAGUCCGCUCUAUGACGUCAUUGGUGCACAGCAACCUAAUCUGGAAUUUCAGCUGACUGUGAAAACUGUCCAGAAGGUUUGAUGGAUUAUGAUUCAAUGCAUAACAGUAAAAACAAAUGAAAGAGAUGCUACAGAGGUUUGUAUUCGACUCUGAAUUCCAAGUCGAGAACUCAGGCCUCUUUCUAAAGCUCCGACCUUUUGACCUGAAGGUCACUGACGACAUGAUUCAACCUCGUUUUUUUCAGCGUUCCCAGUUGUCUUGAAAGCACCAUAAAUCCAGAGAAUGCCAGACUUUGAUGACAAAGUUUGCCCACAAGAAGGACUGCCAUGCCACCUGAUGUUGUGUAGUAAGCUGUUAGUAUCCCAUGUGUGUCACCCUAAGUCACACCCUUUCCCUCUCAGAAUUUAGCCUCGUGUUCUGACUUGGUGGACUGAUUAGCCUGUUUUAGAGAAAUGUCAUCAUCAAAUAUUAUAAGAGCUUUCAUUGUCUCCUUAUAUGCCCCCGUUAUUUAUCCUACAGUUCUGACUUGGCUACACAGGGAAAAUACUGUAAGAAUGGCUGAUGUUCUGAAUGCUGUCGCUGACCAUUUCAAAAGUGUUGAACAAAUAGGCAUAUCAACUACAUCCGUCUUGGCUUGCUCAUCAUUAAUGUCUUAAUCGAAAUUACGGCUUGCCUCUUAUCCGCUCAUCGUUCCCUUAUGCCAUAGUUUGUACAUCUCAAUUGUUAUAUAGGUCUAUCUCAUUAGUAUCUAAUAAUUUUAAGAAAUGUUGGAAUUAUGCAUUUCAUUGUUUUGCUUACUUUGUGUAUUAUAAUUAGCUCAUGUGCUUUUCUUCCGCUAGGAGGGGAUACUAUAUAAUGUUGUUGGGUCUGUAACCAUGUUUGCCAGUGAUAGUCUCCUCCCAUUCAAAUAUUUUUUUUCAACAAAAAGUUAAGUAAUGGACAUGUGAUUUCAGAUAAUAUUUGGAGGGUUGUUUUGUUUGCGCAAUGCGCUGUCUGUGCGUCUGUAUAUUGUCUAUAAAAGUGGAUCCUCGUGAUUGUGUUUUCCUUCCUUUUUAGACCACAAUAGGCCUAAUAAAAUACUUCAAGAAGCUAA